ensembl:ncRNA ZK836.4 ncRNA
UGGAAAGAUAAAAUUGCGGGCGGUACGACAGGAUCAAACGGGCCGACAGUAUUUCUGGUUGCGCCACCCACGACUUUUAUGGGUGGUCUCGAGAAGAAAACGGUGUGCAAAAUUUAUGAGCAUU